UCCGUCAAACUUUAACCCUAAAACGACUUCCACCUCCGAUUUCCUUCUAUUAUCUUAUUCUCUCUGUUCUCCUUCGCCGGCUCACCAGACAAAACAGAUGAAGAAAUAACCGAAUACCCAAAUCAAAAGUGCAAGCAGCCCGAUAUCAAUUAUUUCAAUUAUUUGGUUCGAAUGUCGUGCUUAUUGAUUCAUCUUUCUUUUGAGUUUAAUUUAACCAGCUAAGUAUUCAAAGGAGCCCGAUAAUCCCACUAAGUGCAAGCAUCUCUAAUCUUUUGUGUCUUAUUCCUUUUGUUAUGUUUUCGCAGUUGAAGGGUUUUGGAUGAGUUUAGUUUCUGAUUGGUGUUUAUGAUGUUCUCUAUUUCAGCCUGCAAGGCUAGGGUUCUGCUCUCCGUGUUCAAUUCAAGGUCUAUUGGUUACUUUUUAUUUGGAAAUUUGGGGAUUUAGAGUUUGGUUCUCGAGCAACUCCUUCAACUCCCGCGACUCCAUCAACUCCAUUAACACCAACAGGAUCAAGAGGAUGGGGCCAGAAAAAUGGGGAGUUUUGAAUCCAGCAUUCAGGAUGUGUGCCAAUGAGAAAGCACAAUCCCCUAUAAACAUUUUGACGAAAGAUUGUAUGUUUAAUGCAAAAUUAGGACCACUGGUUAGAGAAUUCACUCCACCAGUGGUACAUUAAUCAACAAAUGCUAUAAUAUUGGGUUGGAAUAUUCGAGUGGAUGUGGAAGCGCCAUGGUAGAUUGGAAGAAAUUCCCCCUGAAAUCGAUGCAUUGGCAUUCACCAUCUAAACACACCAUUGAUGGAACUCGUUUCCCUCUGGAGCUUCUUCUGGUGCAUGCAUCGGCAGAAGGGAGUAUAUCAGUUGUAUCAAUGAACAAUCCUAUACCAAUACGGAAAACCCGACCUAAUCUCACUGAGCUUAAGAGCACUAUAGAUCAACUAGAAGGGAUACAAUGCGCUCCCACUGAGGAAAUUUAUCUUCCAGUAGGGGUACCCUGGAGAUGAUUUUCGUAGUCCUGAUGAAUACAACUUUGAGUGUCUUUCAGUGAAUACUAUGACAUGCUACCUACAUCGUGUUUGUUACUUAGCGGGGGCUUGAAGAGGUUACAAAUGAGUUCAAGGAACAAUUAGGAAGAAGUGCUUUUGGCAUGGGUCAUUGAGAAAUGAGUAUAGCAAAUUCAAUUGCAGUAAAGAAGUUACACAAGUUGUUUGAAGAAAGUGGAAAGGAAUCUAAAAACGAAGUGGAUGUUUAUAAUUUCGGUGAAAUGCUACUUGAGAUCAUAUGUUGCAGGAUAGAAGUUUAAUUGGAAGUGGAAGAGGAAAAGAUAAAAGUUGCCUAUAAGUACUUCCAGGUCCUUCAGUGUCCAUCAGUACAUAAAUAACUAUUUUCUCUUUACCUUAUCAUCAUCACCUUACCCUACUGCGACCAGCCACCUCCAGGCCAUCCAUAUUACGGAGAAGACGCAAAUAUAUUUUUUUUUUCGAAAUCUAUGCCUACUGCUCUUGCACUUUCCAAGUGGAAUACUACUGUUCAGGACUGAACAAUCCUAACAUUUCUAAGACUGGGCUAAGGUUCUGUUGCACGUAAGAAGAUUGUUAAGCCCGGUGCGUACUUGGUAAAAGGACAUGAUUCUUAGAAAUAACAUAUUUGGGUUUUGCUUCUGGGAUUGGUUCUCCUACUGGCAGCUGGUACUUUAUAUAAUAUAGAAGCACGAAAUGAUAUUGUUGUUCCAACUGGGUAGAGGAGCAGCCUUACUUUGUUAUUUUCCAGUAUCAUAUCGACGGCCAAACCUGCCACUGGGGGUGUGGAAGCUGCCAAGGGAAAUGGGGUAGGAAAGAAAGGAAAGAACCCAAGUCGAGUCCUUUUGUCAAAGGAAGGUGGUCGUCGCUAUUAAAGACUUUGCUGAAGGUCUCCCCAUUCAUAAUUGUGCUCAUUUUAGCGUUUUUGUUUUAUUUCUCCGUUUUAUUUCUCCGCUCACCUUUUGCUUGAAAGAUUGUAUGUAAAUUUAAAUCAUCCUGUAUGAGAGAAAAUUGAGCAAACUGAUGUAUUAUUAAAAUAAUUUGAGCACAAAAUAUAAAAUCCUUGGCAUUUAUUAGGA